UACAGGCGGCCUCAGAGCGCGUGCGCACAACGACACUCGACGGAGGCUCAGUGUGGCAGGCUUUAGCUGGCUCAGGAGAUUGUUCAUUGGUGCCCUCAUUUUUUCCUCGUCCUGGACGUAUGCCAAGUUUUUUCUCUUGAUCACUAACCUCCAAAGGUUUACUAAACAUGAGUGAGUCACCUCGACGUAGUGUCAACAAUGGCACUUCACCGCUUCAUGAAAGGUCCCGAGACCCUUCCUUCUCCCGCUCAAGAUCGAGAUCAGUAGAACGUCGAGAUAGCUACAAACACUCCUCUCGGAGGUCUGGAUCACCAAAAUAUCGCGAGGAUCGAUACCGCGAUGACAAAUAUUCCUCCUCGUCACGCCGUCGAUACUCUCGCUCACCUUCAUACUCAAGAAACCGUCGGAGCAACAGGUCUCAAUCAAGGUCACCUAUGUCAAAUCGCCGGCGCCAUCAUGGAGAUCGGGAAGACCCCAGCCCAAGUACUUGCCUGGGCAUAUUUGGACUGAGCCUCUAUACUACAGAGAGGCAGCUUCAUCAUCUUUUUGGCAAGUACGGCCCAUUAAACAAAGUCCAAGUUGUUCUUGAUGCAAAGACUAGUCGCUCUCGAGGGUUUGCAUUUAUCUACUUUGAGCACGUAGAGGAUGCCACAGAGGCUAAAGAACAGUGCACUGGGAUGGAGAUUGAUGGUCGACGCAUCAGAGUAGACUAUUCCAUCACGGAACGAGCUCAUACACCUACCCCUGGUAUUUACAUGGGUAGACCCACAUAUUCUGGAUACGGAAGGCGUGGGGGUGGCGGCGGCGGAGGCGGUGGUGGUGGCGGCGGUGGCGGCGGCGGUGGUGGCGGUGGCCGUUACAGUGGAGGCUACGGUGGUCGCCGCCGCUCUCCCUCACCUUACCACAGAGGACCUCCUCAGCGACGGUCAUACCGCUCACGGUCGAGAUCAUAUUCCCCACAUAAAAACAGACGUGGUGGAUACCAGAAAUAAGCCGAAAAAGAUGGAUGUCGACUGCACUUACAAGGCUUUUUGAGGCUUGAAGAAUGGAGUAUUGGUGAAUAUUGGAAGAUAAGGAAAUCUUAAUGAAUGAGAAGAGUAGAAGCACUGGCCAGAGGCCUUUAGGGAGCAUUGGAGAAGAACUUAUGGCGAAGACAGAACAGGCUGGCAAUAUUCUUCACUCAUUUAAAGUCAACCAAGAAAUGGAUUGUUAACAAGCUAGAAUUGAAAAUUCAUGAAGCAUGUGAAGAUCUCAAACGUUAAGAAUUUACUGAAGCUUGAAGGGGCACUUGGCGAAGCUUAUGAAGAAUUCACUGUUGAUUUGAAGAAGGAAAUAAGGCGGGGAGAGGGUAGCACACAAGAAAAAAAGAAGGGAAGGAAGUACGAAAGGGAAGUAAGCUUGAAGCACGAUCAAAAUCUGGGGCAAGACGAAGGAAGGCAAGAAUUUGCUUCAGAUCAAAAGGGCGUAUUACGUCAUCCUUGUUGACACCACAUCAAUCUCAUCCUCAUGGGCGAGUGUCAAUACUGCCACUGAGAUUUUUAUUUUUAAGUUCGCAACUUGCGAUAUAACAGAAGUGAUUUCAGCUCUGUUCUUGCGAUAUUCUAAAUAUCCUUCUUAGAGUUCCAAGUGAAGUGAUGCAGUAAGUCAACAACAGGAUACCCUCAAGCUUUAUCACCCUUGACACUGGAAGAUAAUCUUGUUUCUGUAAGUUAUCCUCAACGGAUUCUGUCGUAAAACAGGUAAAGUGAAUCUUUGAUAGUACUUUGAAUGAAGUCAUAUUAUAAUGGAUGGUCAGAAUUGCCUAAGCUCACAGAAUUAUUUGUGUGAAAAGUGUUUACUGGUGAUGUAAGAAGGAUACGAGAGGACAAUGGUAGUGUGUGUGUGUUGAGGCAGUGAAGCAGCUGUCAGGAGAGACAACUGAGCUACAUACAUCAUGGAAGAGAAGGAAAGAAUAGGGGAGUGUAUAUUAAUGGCAAAAUUGAUAGUGAUAGGGCAGCUUGGAGGCUCUUUCCUCAUGGUCACCCCCAUAGAAAGGAGUUUUCCAGGGAAGUUUGGCAUUAUAGAUGAUUAAAGGAAGGUUGCAUUUAGGAGUGAUUGAUAAUAAUUCUUGUUCUUGAUUUGAGCAGAAGUGAAUGACCAAUUGAUAUAAUGUGUUAGAUGAAGUUUUGCAAAAGUAAUGUGGCUGAAACUGUCUCGAGGUACAGGCAUAGGAUUACAGGUAACCCUCGAUUUGUGAUGGAGUGGUCUUAAAACAUCAUCGUUAAAGCAAAAUAUCAUAAAUCGGGGUUUACCUGUACUGUACAGUAUAUGGUGAGUGAUGGGUUGGUGAUUUCUGGUGCUGCAAACGAAGGCACAGCAAUGAGAGAUUGAUGUAGGCAAUGAAUUGGGGUUAGUAUUUAUGGUAGCUGACUAGUGAAAUUUUUUCAAGUUUAGGUGAAGGACUGUGUAUAAUGUACAUACAUUCCUCGCCAUUGCGUUAUGCGCGAGUUGGCCGAUGGGAAGUGAUCUUUGCUGAAGUGUCUCACACCCCUCCAUACCAGCCAGCUGGGGGCUGAGGCAGGCCCUGUUGUUUCUUUGAUUUUUUUUUACCACAAUGGGCAAGAGGAAAGAUUUAGCAAAAGAGCAUGUUAAUAUUAUGCCUGUGUAGUUAUUGGCAUGUAUCCAUUUGUUGACUUUUGGUAAGGAUUAUGCGUUGAUAUGUUUGUUAACAGUAUUACUGUAUGUAUGUGUCAUGAGAUCUUUAAUUUUGUAGUUUUAUAGACAAAAGUAUUGGAAUGAUAGAGAGGUGUGUGGAGUGUAAUUGGUUACAGGAUGGUCAAGGUGAUAUAUGAUUGGUUACAGGAUGGUCAAGGUGAUGUAUGAUUGGUUACAGGAUGGUCAAGGUGAUGUAUGAUUGGUUACAGGAUGGUCAAGGUGAUGUAUGAUUGGUUACAGGAUGGUCAAGGUGAUGUAUGAUUGGUUACAGGAUGGUCAAGGUGAUAUAUGAUUGGUUACAGGAUGGUCAAGGUGAUGUAUGAUUGGUUACAGGA
rnacentral:misc_RNA from 1 species